rnacentral:rRNA from 1 species
CCAAUAGCGUAUAUUAAAGUUGUUGCAGUUAAAAAGCUCGUAGUUGAAUUUUGGAUUCUUCCAAUUGGUCGAUCUUUUAGAUGAGUACUGGUUGUGUGGGGUCUAUCCGCCUGGUGAUACGUAAUGUCCUUUAUUGGAUGUUGCGGGUAGUCAGGACCUUUACCUUGAAAAAAUUAGAGUGUUUAAAGCAGGCUUAUGCCGGAAUACAUUAGCAUGGAAUAAUAGAAUAGGACGAAGUUGUUUUAUUUUGUUGGUUUCUAGGACAACCGUAAUGAUUAAUAGGGAUAGUUGGGGGCAUUAGUAUUCAAUUGUCAGAGGUGAAAUUCUUGGAUUUAUUGAAGACUAACUACUGCGAAAGCAUUUGCCAAGGAUGUUUUCAUUAAUCAAGAACGAAAGUUAGGGGAUCGAAGACGAUCAGAUACCGUCGUAGUCUUAACCAUAAACUAUGCCGACUAGGGAUCGGGCGAUGUUGUUUCCAUGACUCGCUCGGCACCUUAUGGGAAACCAAAGUGUUUGGGUC